rnacentral:tRNA from 1 species
UCUCCCGUUUAAUAGAGACGGGAGAAGA